rnacentral:lncRNA from 1 species
UAGAUCCUUCUAUUUAGAACUCCUCAAGAAUCCUGGAAAAUGUCAGCAUACUUAGUGUGAUAAAUAUCCUAUCAGCUGAGCCAGGUUUUCUGAGUGCAACCUGCCCCUUGGCUAGGCUUUCUGGAAAUCCUGGGCCAAUCAUCACCAUACCAGGAGAGCCACAGGAACCGAUGAUGAAGUGGAAGCCUUCCUGCCUCCAAAAUAAACAGAUGAGCCUCUGUUGAAAUUCUAGCCUGUUGGGUACUCAGGCUUCUGUGUAAUGGAUAACUUAGUAUAAAAACAGAGCACUCUGCUCGCUGACUUUCAGAG